UAACUACGUGCCAGAAGCCUCGGUAAUACGUAGGGUGCAAGCAUUAUCCGGAUUUACUGGGCGUAAAGCGUUCCGUCGGCGGUUUAUCAAGUUUCAUCUUUAAUACUGGGGCUCAACCCCAGAUACAGGAUGGAAAACUAGUAGACUAGAGUUUACUAUGGGGAGCUGGAAUUCUCGGUGGAGGGGUGAAAUCCGUAGAUAUCGAGAGGAACACCGUUCGCGAAGGCGAGCUCCUAGGGUAACACUGACGCUCAGGGACGAAAGCUUGGGUAGCAAAAGGGAUUAGAGACCCCUGUAGUCCAAGCCGUAAACAUUCCUUGCUAAUUGCUUGGUCCUUUAUGGAUUGAGUGAUGUAAGCUAACGCGUUAAGCAAGGCGCCUGGGGAUUACGAUCGCAAGAUUAAAACUCAAAGGAAUUGACGGGGGAGCGCACAACCGGUGGAGCAUGUGGUUUAAUUCGAUACAAAGCGAAAAACCUUACCUGGGUUUGACAUGUACCUGCACGGCUUAGGAAACUAAGUCUUCUUCGAGAGUGGUACACAGGUGUUGCAUGGCUGUCGUCAGCUCGUGUCGUGAGGCGUCCACUUAAGUGUGGUAACGAGCGCAACCCUUAUCUCGUGUUACAAGUGUCACGAGAGACUGCCCUGCUUUUUGCAGGGAGGAAGGAGAGGAUGACGUCAAGUCAGCACGACCCUUACAUCCAGGGCUACACACAUCCUACAAUGGAGCCGACAACAGGAAGCAAGACCGCAAGGUGGAGCUAAUCCCUAAACGGCCCCUCAGUUCAGAUUGUGGGCUGCAAUUCGCCCGCAUGAAGUCGGAAUCGGUAGUAAUCGCAAAUCAGCAGGUUGCGGUGAAUACGUUCUCGCUCCUUGUACACACUGCCCGUCAAACCAGCAAAGUUAGCAACACCCGAAGCGGGUGACCAUAACUCGCAAGAGAGUGGCCCUUCUACGGUGAGGUUAGCGAUGAGGGUUAAGUCGUAACAAGGUAUCGCUACUGGAAGGUGGCGAUGG
rnacentral:rRNA from 1 species